UAUACAAUCGGCAAUGUUGUCUCUUUGGAACAUAAAAAUAUGACAUUCAUGAUAAUCAAAAUAUAUAUUUUUGCCGUUUUGAAUUUUUAUUUCAGACAUUUCCGGACUUCCGGCGGAAAUAAAACCCCUAAAAUUUAAUUUGAAAUAAUGCAUUUAUACUUUUCGAUCGCCAUUUGGUAUAGGUGUGCGUUUUAUAUCUAUAUCGUCCCAUACUAUCGUCCCGAAGUACAUUUUUACAUUUUGAUAUACGAUAGCUAGCUAAGAUUUAUAGUUUAUUCCAGGUUAAAAAUACGUAACGAAUUUCAUUCUGACGAGCGCUGGAAGAAGGCUAAAACGUAGCUAACAAUUCUUUAGCCAAUUUUCCUAUUGAAGAUAUGCCAGUCUAGGACACUUCGAAAUUGCUUUAGUCGGGCUUUCACGAUCUUUUACUCUGGGGACGAAAUCGAAUUUACAUCAUGUGGGAAAUAGACAGAGAGCACGACAGUGGCGUUGAUUUUAAUGAUGAGAUAACAUUAAGGUUGAGAAUCAAGGAGCUCAAAAAAACUGAGAAAAACUUUAUCACUUUACAAAAGGAUCACCAAACGCUUUUAGCCGCUCAUGGACAAUGCCUCGUUGAACAAACCGCCAAAGAAAAUAAAGAAAAAAGAUCCAAAAAUUUUCAAAAGAUAUAUGGGCGAACAUCUACAGUUGAAAGAAAUCACGAAAGUUCAAGUUCAAACGUACGCGGCGUUUACCCGUUGCUUUUAACACAAGAUUGCUUAUCUCCUAUGACACAGAGGGAUGCUGCGCUCCCUUCGAUGCAAGAUGACCCACAUCCCAUCACUCCGAGGGAUGCUCUGAUCCCCUCAACACGUGAUGAGGAUACAGCUAUCCCAACACAGGUGGGUGAUUCCAACCUCUCUCCACCUGAAGCGAAUCCAACCAAAUCCCCGGCAGCUAACUUGAAAAAACCCUACGAGACCCUUUUGGUCACAAUUCCCAAAGUUCUCCAUACCUCUGACAAGGAGAAAUUAAAGAACUGGGCUAAACGUUUUUCACUCCCGGAUUCUCUAAGUGCUGAACAAAUUAUCUUCCAAAUUGAUCGAAAAAGGCUCAUCAGCGCCUCAAACUUAAGUCAUCUGAAGGAAUUCUUUGAGAGCAUUAACAGAUUUGACCUUCUUUAUGUGAUUGAUGGAUUUCUUCAGGGUGACUACAGCUGUCUUCAGCAAGUAUUAGAGUCCCGUGGAGAGGCACAAUCAAGAUGAAUUGUGCAUAUUAGAAUGAAAUGCGUGUACUGCAUGGUCAGCAUCACUGGAAAAUCGACCAACCAAAGUAAUAACUUGUCCUCACAAUGUGGCUCAGUGACUGCCUAACAUAUAUAACCAAUUCCAGCCUGUCUUUUGCGCCGUAAUUGACACGUGUCAAAUGCACCAAAGGCAACGAGGUGAUGAUUUGAAACUCUUCAUUAUCUUUUAUUCUAUUAUACUGUAUUCGGCACAAGGCUCUCGACGUUUGAACCAAAAGGCUGGUUUUCAUUGUUGCAUUUUUGUGCGAGUCAAGUCCAAAUGUAUAUAAGGAGAUUAGCCUAUAGUAGAAAACCUUCUUCAGGUCGGGAAUCGGAUAUUUUUCAGACAGUCGCUAAACCACAUUUGAUGAGGGAGAGUUAUUUGACGCUGCUUUCCUGUUUUGUCUUAUAUUCCUACUAAUCGGUAAGGGAUUGAAAAGUUUGAUUAACAAUUAAUGGGGUUUAGUAUAAAAAUAAUCGUAAGGGGUUUAGUAUCGUAAUAAAAAUAAUCGUAAGGGAAAGAUAGCAGGACCUUUUUUAAGGAAUCCUUUUCAGAGUCAUCGACCCCCCUGUUUAAAAUACAAGCAAUGUUAUAUAAAACAUAGAAGCAUGCAUCCACCCAAUAUUGUUUUUGCGUACAAAGUAUGAAAGUGGUACCCCCGUGGUACUUCCGAGGGCCAAUUACACCCCUCAGUUAGCAUUUUGGCUAAUUCAUAAAACAAUUAUGGCAACCAUGGAUACAUGCUUAUAUGUUUUAUAUAACAUUGCUUAUAUUUUAUGCAGGGGGGUUGCUUUCUCUCAAAAUAAUAUCUUAAAAAAGGCCCUGAAAGAUAGUAGAAUAUGAAACCAACGUACGAUGGCUGAGAUUUUCAUGAAAUCAAUUUAUGAGUGUGAAUUUCUAAGCAUCGUACGAGGAUUUAGGUGGCUCCCUACAGUUUCAUGAAAUUGUUUAAUACACAUUUUGAACAGGGAUAUUAAGUCA
rnacentral:lncRNA from 1 species